rnacentral:rRNA from 1 species
CUACGGGGCGCACCAGUGGGGAAUAUUGCACAAUGGGCGCAAGCCUGAUGCAGCCAUGCCGCGUGUAUGAAGAAGGCCUUCGGGUGGUAAAGUACUUUCAGCGGGGAGGAAGGGAGUAAAGUUAAUACCUUUGCUCAUUGACGUUACCCGCAGAAGAAGCACCGGCUAACUCCGUGCCAGCAGCCGCGGUAAUACGGAGGGUGCAAGCGGUAAUCGGAAUUACUGGGCGUAAAGCGCACGCAGGCGGUUUGUUAAGUCAGAUGUGAAAUCCCCGGGCUCAACCUGGGAACGGCAUCUGAUACUGGCAAGCUUGAGUCUCGUAGAGGGGGGUAGAAUUCCAGGUGUAGCGGUGAAAUGCGUAGAGAUCUGGAGGAAUACCGGUGGCGAAGGCGGCCCCCUGGACGAAGACUGACGCUCAGGUGCGAAAGCGUGGGGAGCAAACAGGAUUAGAUACCCCUGUAGUC